rnacentral:lncRNA from 1 species
AUUGGUUGUAUUCCAUGGUAUUCAUGAUCUUUUUUAAAAAAUGCUCUAUUCAUCGGUGGUCUUUCAGAUUCAUAAUAUUGGUCACUGGGGUCUCCCAUGCUAUUAACUUUAGUCCAUUUAUGUAUUUUCUUUUCUAAAACAUUUAACUGAUCUUCAUGGUAAUAUUUUAAAUAAGUGAAGAAGGGUAUAAUUUUUUCUACUUGUUCACAAAAAUCAAAAA